CAAUGAGGCCUGUUAUGAUAAUAUCGUAAUAAAAAUAUGUCGAUGUUUAUCUUAUUUCAUGAUCCGUUCAUUUUAUUAACAUUACAUGUUCAAUCAGUGUUCAAAUCGCUCGAAAUUUUGAACACCUCGUGUUAAAAAAAAUAUACCAGGAUACCAAAUACAGGAAACAGAUAUCGGCUGGCGAUUUAGGCGGUUCAACGAAGAAUGGAUACACAUAAGAAAGAGAACUGGAGAAGGGACUUCUAUCCCAUAUGAACACGAAAGAAGAAUCGUUAGAUUAAAAUGUUUGAAUUAGGAACCGGUAGCCAAUAAUCCCAAAAAGGUCAUUUCUACAUGCUAUAAAGUGGUGGAAAAAAGAAAGAUGUCGAAAAAAGGAUAUAUAGGCUCAUAGACAAUCCUUGUUGAGGAGGAUUUUGACAUUGGAAGUUGAUAACAACACAUAAAAUGCCAGCCAGUUGAUAGCUUUAAGUGAAGAUGCACUGAAAAGUGGAGCGUACAUUGUAUGUGAUCGUACAAGAACUGUUGGAAUUUGCAAACUUUUAAACUUUCAUUGUGACAAAUACCUUAUCAUAAACUAUCUAAUUAUCACAUUGACAUGCUUUUUUGGUUAGGAUACAAAUGAUGUUGCAACUAUCUAGUCAUGUAGGGGAAAAUCAUUAUUUGUGAUAUAUAUUUAAGUCAGUUUAAAAACAUUAUGUAUGUGAUUUCACUGACUGUUACUUGUGAUAUCAUAAGGUAUCUGGUGUACUUUUCUUACAUAUAAUAUGCUCAUUUGAUUACAUAAAGAAUUACUUGUUAAAAUAUGUUUUAUUGUUAUAUUUUGCCUGA